UACGUAGGGGGCAAGCGUUGUCCGGAAUCAUUGGGCGUAAAGAGCGUGUAGGCGGCCCGGUAAGUCCGCCGUGAAAGUCCAGGGCUCAACCCUGGAAUGCCGGUGGAAACUGCCGGGCUGGAGUCCGGAAGAGGCGAGUGGAAUUCCUGGUGUAGCGGUGAAAUGCGCAGAUAUCAGGAGGAACACCAAUGGCGAGGGCAGCUCGCUGGAACGGAACUGACGCUGAGGCGCGAAAGCGUGGGGAGCGAACAGG
rnacentral:rRNA from 1 species